UACGUAGGGUGCAAGCGUUGUCCGGAGUUAUUGGGCGUAAAGAGCUCGUAGGCGGUCUGUCACGUCGGCUGUGAAAUCCCGAGGCUCAACCUCGGGUCUGCAGUCGAUACGGGCAAACUAGAGUAUUGCAGGGGAGACUGGAAUUCCUGGUGUAGCGGUGAAAUGCGCAGAUAUCAGGAAGAACACCCGUGGCUAAGGCGGCUCUCUAGUACGGUACUGACGCUGAGACGCGAAAGCGUGGGGAGCGAACAGG
rnacentral:rRNA from 1 species